rnacentral:lncRNA from 1 species
UUUCCAUAAUUCAACAUUACUACAUUUAUCUUAAUUUUGAAGAUUUUCUCUGUUUUUUUUUUUCCUGCUAUGCAAGUUUUGAUGUGUCAUAGAUCACGAGAACGGUGCUUGUGUGUUUCCUUUGGUUACUUUUCGUUAAUAAAAUGUUUGUUACCCCAUGUACUUCUGGCAAAUUUUUCACACUCCCCCGUGAAGUAAAGAAAAUGUGAAUGCAAAUAUGGAAUGACAUUGGUGAGAGCGCGGCAGACCAAGACCGCAUGUUGUUGGAGUUAGAAAGGGAAUGCUUAGAAGUUUACAGGAGGAAGGUAUAA